rnacentral:lncRNA from 1 species
CUGCAAAAGAAGAAUUUUUAUUAACAACUUAUUCAAAACUUAAUAAAUCUAUACUAAUCUAUGAAUCUCCAAUAUCUUGCUGACAUGGCGUUACCUCCUUCUUUCAAAACUGCUCUCUUUCAUCUCCCAACCUCCAAAACCCUUCAUCUUCAAAACCGUUCCCUCCUUAUCUCCCAAUAAAACCACAAUUGAAUGCAUAUAAUUGUAUCAAAACUAUUCCCUCUCAUCUCCCAACCUUCAAAACCCCUCAUCUUCCAAAACCGUUCCCUCCUCAUCUCCCAAUAAAACCACAAUUGAAUGCAUGUACUUCAACAAAAUUUUGUAGGAUUAUUAACCUUCCACCUGUUGAAUUGAGAGCGCAAUAGAAUAGA